rnacentral:rRNA from 1 species
UACGAAGGGGGCUAGCGUUGUUCGGAGUUACUGGGCGUAAAGGGCGCGUAGGCGGCGCAUCAAGUCAGGCGUGAAAGCCCUGGGCUCAACCCGGGAAUUGCGCUUGAGACUGGUGUGCUCGAGUACGGGAGAGGAUAGUGGAAUUCCCAGUGUAGAGGUGAAAUUCGUAGAUAUUGGGAAGAACACCAGUGGCGAAAGCGACUUUCUGGUCCUUAACUGACGCUGAGGCGGCGAAAGCAUGGGGAGCGAACGGGG